CCGAAUAAAGGGAAGCUUUUAAUUCGAUAGUGUUUAGUGGGAAAGUUAAAGCCAUUCUUUAAAAAAAAUCACUUUGUUAGCCGUUAUUGAGUAUCUGUUUCACAAAUGACAAAUAUCGUAACCACAAUACCGCCUUCUCUUCUUCAAAUGUUUAUCUAAAUCUUCAACAAGACUUUUAACUGCAUCCUUGUUAUCAUCCUAGCAUACAUUUUUGAUCCAAGGGUGAUUCAUUUUACGAAAUUUGGCAAAUAAGGUAUUUUUCGCCUACUAGUAGUCAAUUCAAAUAUGUAAUAAAAAUGUGCCUCCAUGUGAUGCCUUAAUAGAUACGAGGCAGCAGUUUUAGACAUUUGCGCACAAAUUUGAUUCAGUGGACUUUU
rnacentral:lncRNA from 1 species